rnacentral:rRNA from 1 species
AUUGAACGCUGGCGGCAUGCCUUACACAUGCAAGUCGAACGGUAACAGGUCUUCGGAUGCUGACGAGUGGCGAACGGGUGAGUAAUACAUCGGAACGUGCCUAGUAGUGGGGGAUAACUACUCGAAAGAGUGGCUAAUACCGCAUGAGAUCUACGGAUGAAAGCAGGGGAUCGCAAGACCUUGUGCUACUAGAGCGGCCGAUGGAAGAUUAGGUAGUUGGUGGGAUAAAAGCUUACCAAGCCGACGAUCUGUAGCUGGUCUGAGAGGACGAUCAGCCACACUGGGCCUGAGACACGGCCCAGACUCCUACGGGAGGCAGCAGUGGGGAAUUUUGGACAAUGGGCGAAAGCCUGAUCCAGCAAUGCCGCGUGCAAGAUGAAGGCCUUCGGGUUGUAAACUGCUUUUGUACGGAACGAAAAGCCCCGGGUUAAUACCCUGGGGUCAUGACGGUACCGUAAGAAUAAGCACCGGCUAACUACGUGCCAGCCGCCGCCGUAA